rnacentral:rRNA from 1 species
CAUGGCGGCAGGCCUACACAUGCAGUCGAGCGGAUGACGGGAGCUUGCUCCUUGAUUCAGCGGCGGACGGGUGAGUAAUGCCUAGGAAUCUGCCUGGUAGUGGGGGACAACGUUUCGAAAGGAACGCUAAUACCGCAUACGUCCUACGGGAGAAAGCAGGGGACCUUCGGGCCUUGCGCUAUCAGAUGAGCCUAGGUCGGAUUAGCUAGUUGGUGGGGUAAUGGCUCACCAAGGCGACGAUCCGUAACUGGUCUGAGAGGAUGAUCAGUCACACUGGAACUGAGACACGGUCCAGACUCCUACGGGAGGCAGCAGUGGGGAAUAUUGGACAAUGGGCGAAAGCCUGAUCCAGCCAUGCCGCGUGUGUGAAGAAGGUCUUCGGAUUGUAAAGCACUUUAAGUUGGGAGGAAGGGCAGUAAGUUAAUACCUUGCUGUUUUGACGUUACCGACAGAAUAAGCACCGGCUAACUCUGUGCCAGCAGCCGCGGUAAUACAGAGGGUGCAAGCGUUAAUCGGAAUUACUGGGCGUAAAGCGCGCGUAGGUGGUUUGUUAAGUUGGAUGUGAAAGCCCCGGGCUCAACCUGGGAACUGCAUCCAAAACUGGGCAAGCUAGAGUACGGUAGAGGGUGGUGGAAUUUCCUGUGUAGCGGUGAAAUGCGUAUAUAUAGGAAGGAAGAGCAGUGGCAAAGGGGACACCUGAGUGAUAGUGACACU